UGUCCAAGGGUAAUUGUUGUAUCCUACUAGAUACACCAACUCUUUACCAUGACACCACUAGGGAGCAAUGUCCAAGGGUAAUUGUUGUAUCCUACUAGAAACACCAAUUCUUUAUCAUGACACCACAAGGGAGCAAUGUCCAAGGGUAAUUGUUGUAUCCUACUAGAAACACCAAUUCUUUAUCAUGACACCACAAGGGAGCAAUGUCCAAGGGUAGGUAAUAUGUAAGAAUUGUACUUUCUGCCCCCAUUGCAUGAUUCUAAGAGCCGGCUAAUUUUGGUAUCUUAUCUUUUCUCUUCUUCUGAAUCAACCUUUCUACUUCCUAAUCACUUCCUUGUCACUGCCUUACUAUUGGCCUUUAGUUAAGUUUUCGUCCCUAUGAGAAAGGUUUUGGCUUCAGUCACCUGGCUGAGACAUACUAGAGUCUGUAGAAAAGGUAGUUGCUACUCCUGCUGAGCACACAGCUGUAUCAACAAUCAACAACCUUCCAAAUCAUGCAUGCACCUCUAAUACAAUACACCAACAAAGGUAUUCAUUAUACACCAACAAAGGUAUUCAUUAUACACCAACGAAGGUAUUCAUUAUACACCAACGAAGGUAUUCAUUAUACACCAACGAAGGUAUUCAUUAUACACCAACGAAGGUAUUCAUUAUACACCAACGAAGGUAUUCAUUAUACACCAACGAAGGUAUUCAUUAUACACCAACGAAGGUAUUCAUUAUACACCAACGAAGGUAUUCAUUAUACACCAACGAAGGUAUUCAUUAUACACCAACGAAGGUAUUCAUUAUACACCAACGAAGGUAUUCAUUAUACACCAACGAAGGUAUUCAUUAUACACCAACAAAGGUAUUCAUUAUACACCAACGAAGGUAUUCAUUAUACACCAACGAAGGUAUUCAUUAUACACC